GCCUGGGAUAACUCAGCCGGUAUAGCAUGAGACUGUUUAAUCUCAGGGUGGUGGGUUCAAGUCCCACGUUGGGCA